AUGAAAUUGUUACGACGCUUAAAAGCAUCGACGGACUCUUUUCAUGCGUCACUAAAAUUCACACUUACCCCAACCCUUCGUUUAGUCGAAACCCUAGCCCUUUGUCGCUCCACCCCUUCUUCGGAUUCCUUCCAGGUCCUGUGCCUCAAUUUUCGAUCGGAAACCGACUCUCCACCUCAUUUAAAACCCACCCUCCCCCACCAUUUCGAGCCCCAAACUGAUCCCUCUCUUCCUCCUCCUCCUCCUCCUCUUCCGACCUCAUCGCUGACAGUAUCCCUCCUCCUCCUCCGACCUCUCGUCGCCGACGGUCUCCCUCCUCCUCCGACCUCUCCACCGCUCCUCCACCUUGCUCAUCCUCCUCCGGUCUCUCAUCACCAUCGCCGUCAUCGUAGCUAUCCCCUACUGAGAUCCAGUAGGAGAUCACCAUCAACGACAUCGAGAGUCCAUCGACUGAGCUUCGCUAGGGUUCGUGUACAGCAGAGCCGACUGGGGAGCCUCUCCAACCAUUGUCGAAACCUCACCAUCCUAUAGAUCCUGUUUAUUAUAAAAAUGCUCGUGUGCUCCUUCAUGAUGAAAGUAUAUAUCGAUUUGAGUGUGUAAGUUUCAUGCCAUCUGUUCUUUUAUUAUUGAGACUUUGACUUCUUGUUUUCAUAAUGGUAGUCAAAAUACUGCAUCUAAAUCUAUGGUAGUAAGAUAUGGUGGGGUUUGCCUAGUAUUUUUGGAUGAGUUGGUAACGAGUUGUGCUUGGGAAGUUUUGUUGUUGAUGAAGGCUUUAUGUUGCUUUAUGAUGGGGUUUUAUUUCGAUGCUUCAGAAACUCUUAUACAAAUGCUUGAUUUGGGGUUAUGGCCUGAAUACAUAUAUAGGGCAGCUGUGUUGCAGGGACUUAGGAGGAGCAUACAGGAAUCUGGAAACAUUGAACCUUACAUCAAGCUGUGCAAGCACCUAUCUGAUACGGAUCUGACUGGACCCUGCCUUGUAUAUUUGUACAUAAGUAAAUAUAAGCUGUGGAUUAUAAAAAUGCUCUGACGGCUUUGAUGAGAGUUUCUGCCAACUUGUUUGGUCGAUUGUUCUCUUACCAGCCAAGCUUUUCUUUAUGCAUUUUGAUGCACUUGUAUAGUAAGAUGAAUGAGGAUCGGAAGUUAAAGUGUUUUAAUAGGCACCAAACAUGGAUCAAGAUGAAAUAUGUCCAAUAAAAUGUCACCAUUGUCUAUACGGGCAUACAUAAGAUAUAUGUAGUCUCAGAUUUUUAUAACUUUGCCUUCUAUGAUGUUGUAAAUCUUGUAACUUUGCCUUCUAUUAAGUCUCCCUCAGGUUGAAGCUUGACUAUCAAGUGCAGGUUUCUGGAAAAUCAAUGAGGGAAGAAGUGCAGGAGUGAAGAAAUGCAUGAAGAAUAUCACCUGUAAAGUAAGGCAGGACAGGUGAUGAAUGGGAGUAUUCAUGUUCGGUUGUAUCAGGGAGAACUCCCUGAAAAAAUACAUGCUAAUACGUUAUACAUUACUAAAAUUAGUGUAUGUGUUUUUUUUUCUUUUCCUAAAUUAGAUGAAUUGUAAGUGAGUUUAUACUGAAUCUUGGAUUGCCAGAUCAAAAUUUAAAUGUUCCUGAGGAAUUGCAUGAAAUGCUUGUUCGCAGCCCAAAAAGUUAGUUCUCCAGAACUGGUCGAGUAUUUCUCUUAGGCUAUAAAGCAGGCCACUUCAUGUAUGACCCUCAGAUGCUAACAGGAGGUCAUCAAUAAAAUGCGUGUGCAUUCACCAAUCUUGAAUCAGAUUAAGAUCACAGCUUCUGGUCAUGCUCGUUUUGCAUUGCGUCGCACUUGCCUUAAGUUGAUGUAUGAUAUGUGAUGCCUCCAAUAGUAACUAACGUUGGUUCUUAGCCAAAGUAUGACACGAGGAGGCGGCAGAAAACGAACACGCCAACAGCAGGUGGGGGUCCAUGCCUGGGACUUUUCUCGUUGGCAUUCCCCAUGCUGGUCUGAUGGCUCUGCAGCAUAUUAGAGCAGGUCACUUGAUUGACUUGUGCGGGCAUGCCAAUCUAUUUAAAGCCACUUUGAGCAUCUAGUGGCUCCUCAUAAUUUGCCUUGCGACGUUACCACCAGCCGACUCUCCAGCCAGUGGAUCGGAUGCGCGCUUCAAUACCGCAGUCAACGGAAAGCAGUCGUACAUCUUUGCCUGUUACUAUUUCUCAUAACCAUGCAGAAAAUUGGCACUUCUCGUCUGCCUUAUUUUCUUGUCGUCUUUGUUGGCGGUCCCUCAAGAGGGAACUAAUAAAUGGGUGCGGAAAGAAUAACAUUAGACAAAGGAUGGUGGUACUAGAUUCCAAAAACAGCAUGUGCAACUUGAGAGAUUCCAAAGUGAUUCACGUUGUUUCAACAUUUUUAAUAAAUUUUGAAUAGGUAUAUAUAUAUUAUU